UACGGAGGUCCCGAGCGUUGUUCGGAUUUAUUGGGCGUAAAGGGUGCGUAGGCGGCGGAGUAAGUUGGGUGUGAAAUCCCGGGGCUCAACCUCGGAAUGGCAUUCAAUACUGCUUCGCUAGAGUACUGGAGAGGAGGCUGGAAUUUACGGUGUAGCAGUGAAAUGCGUAGAUAUCGUAAGGAAGGCCGGUGGCGAAAGCGAGCCUCUGGACAGUUACUGACGCUGAUGCACGAAGGCCAGGGGAGCAAACGGG
rnacentral:rRNA from 1 species